rnacentral:lncRNA from 1 species
UGGGGGUAGGGAAGAACUUCACCUCUUCCUGUCCUUCUAGAAACUUCCCCAACUGUAUUUUUUGAAACUAUAGAUUUGGGGACGCUGGGAGAGAUUCAGAUCUUCUAGUCUAGGGGUCAGCAUACGAAGGCCAUGGACUAAUCUGGACCCAUUUCCUAAUUUUAUACAUGACGAUUAUUGGAACGCGGCCAUGCCCACUCAUUGACCUAUUGUCCAUGGCUGACUUUGCUGUGCAACAGGAGCGUUGGGAAGGUGCAACAGGGUCUCUAUGGCCCAUAAAACCGAAUAUUUUCGCUAUCCAGCCCUUUUUAGAAAAACUCAGCAACCCUGGCUCUUCCACUGUUUAGAUUCUGGACCAUGUGCGAUGGCAGGAUCGGACCACACCGAACUACUCGGGGAACACGGACGAGGCCAGGAGAGCUCUUACACAAUUUUUUUGAUUGUAAAAUUAUAAAGAAGAAAAUAAAAAGGCACCCAUAAUUCUAUCACCCUCUAAUAAGAACGGUUAAUAUUUUGCUGUGUUUGCAUCUAGUCUUUUUCUAUUUACAUAUAAAAAUGUAAGUAUAUAUAAUUAUGUCAUUAACAUCCUACCGUGUUUAGUUUUGUAUCCGGUUGUGGGAGCCUGUGUCUCCCAUUUUACGGUGACCCUGUAGCAUAUGGAAGUUCCCAGGCUAGGGGUGAAAUUGGAGUCACAGCUGCCAGCCUACGGCUGCAGCCACAGCCAUGAAAUAUCUGAGCCAUAUCUGCGACCUAUACCACAGCUCACAGGAAUGCUAAAUCCUUAACUCACUGAGUGGGGCCAGAGAUCAAACCCACGUCCUCAUGGAUAAGAGUCAGGUUCAUUACUGCUGAGAUACAGCGGGAAUUCCAGUCCGAGUUUGAACAAGCCCUCCAGGUAACCUGAAUGCAUGUUCAAGUGCCAGACCCACUGCCCUGAGCUUGAUCCACAGAGGUUAGUGGGAGAAUACAGACCCACCCUGAGUCCUCCUUGGUUUCAUCACAUACUGGGGAAGAAGUGGGACACGAUCCUUUGUCCUGUCAUGAUUGGGAGGGAGUCAGAGCCUCCUGGAGAUGUCUCGGAAUCUUUAAAUAAGCCCAGGCUCUUUCAUAGUAAUUUUUUGUUUCCUGGAAAAGUAGGCUUCUCCCUGUUCUGGGCUGUGGCAGCAAGAUUAUUUGAAUUGGGGAAAAAUGCUAAGAGUGAAAAUGCAAUAAAGUAUCAAAUGGAGAAAAUGCGGUUUUCAGUUGAGCCACACAAUUAAACAUUAAGGGAUAGUUUAGUGGUUAAUAGUAAUUAUUAUUCCUCUGACAUGUAUUAUCUCAGAAACCACGGGACAUGGCUGAAUUGCAAGGAAUUUAGGUGUAGAAGGCAUAGCCAAUGACCCCACGGUCAGGUUCAAUGUUGAGGUGUCCUUCCUCCAUCCACAAUUAAAGGCUGACCCUUAAUGCAUCAAAAGUUAUUUAUCAAAAGUUUGCCCGCAGUCUCUGUACUGGGACUUGCUAAAAACAAAACAAAAUAAGACGAACAGAGUCUUACAAAGCUAAACAUAGCCUUACCCUACAAUGCAGCAGUCCUAUGCCUGGGUCUUUACCUAACUGAUUUGCAAACUUAUGCCUUGCACACAAAUGUUUAUAGCAGCUUUAUUCAUGAUCACCAAAACCUGGAAGGAACUGUUAUAUCCUCUGUAGCCUUGUUUUGUUUUGAUUUGUUUUGGCUUUGGCCUUGCCCUGGGCAUGUGGAAGGUCCCAGGUUGGUGAUCGAACUUGAGCCAUAGCAGUGACUUGAACCACUGCAGUAACAAGUUCACCAAGAGAACGCUGUGUCCUUUGAAGGGGAAUGGAUCGAGAAAAUUUGAUGCAACAGAAUACUGUACAGU